UUUUUUUUUUUUUUUUUUUUUUUUCACAGCCAGGGGUGGUAUUUUUAGCUCUGACACGUCCCAAGGAUCAAAUAUCCCACAGGAUCGGGGAAUUGGCAGGGGGGAACCCUUGGGAUUUACCCUGUAAGCCAAGCCUGGCCCCGGCUGCCAAGGAUGAGGUUGGAUUCCCCCGGCUGCUGCUCUGGCUGAACUUGGGGUUACCUCCAGCAUUCCCCAUCCCGAGGAAUGACUGACACAGCGGGAAAAAUGCCAGAGGUUUUCCAGCAGAAGGGGGAACAAAUGAACUUGGUGUGCAAUCCGUGGCGCUCUGGGCUGCCUGCAGCUCCCUGCCAGCUCCGCUCUCCUUCUCCUCCUCCAUUUAUUCCCUUGUCCCUCUGCUCCCAGGGAAGGUUUUACAGGAGGGUUUCUCUUCCCUUUCUCAGUCCAGGAAACCAGGAGGAAAAAAGGAGCUGGGGAAGGAAUCUAGGCCAUCCCAUUGUUGCUCUAUCUGGGGCUUAAAGCCAUCGAGCUGGGUUUGUUUGAAAGGGCCCAUUUCUGUCUCAGGCUCGCUCGUUUGAUUUUAUUUGGAUUUUCCUUUGUUCACUCAGCUGGAACAGGCGGGCGCAGAGGGAGGGGAAAGCAGAGGAUUCCAAUAAUGGGGUUUUGGCAGCACGUUGGGCAUAAAACAGCUUUAUUUGGGAUUUUGGUCCUUUUUUUUUUUUUUUGCAGCAGCAGCAGCAGAUGAAAGGAACUCGUGGAGGGGCUGGGGCAGGGGCUGGUGAUCCCCAGUCUGUGUCGUGUGAGCCGUGUCCCACCCCAAUAGCUGGGAUUUUGCUGGGAAUCCCUGUCCUUUUCUGCUGGGAAUUAUUGGAAUUCCUGUCCAUUUCUGCUGGGAAUUAUUGGGAAUCCCUGUCCUUUCUUCUGGGAAUCAUUUGGAAUCCCUGUCCUUUUCUGCUGGGAAUUAUUGGAAUCCCUGUCUUUUCCGUUGGGCAUUAUUGUGAAUCUCUGUCCUUUCUGCUGGGAUUUUGCUGGGAAUCCCUGUCCUUUUCUUCUGGGAAUUAUUGGGAAGCUGUUGGUGAUUGAUCCUUGGCUCCAACCUCAAUGCAUCCACCCCACUCCUCUGCCCGCUGCCCCCAGGGCAUCCCAAAUCCUGGGAUAAACACAACAGGGAGUUGAACCAUGAACUGGGGUGGGUUGGAGGGGAUCUGAAGGAGCGCCUAGAUCCAGUUUGGAGUCUUGUUCCUGCUGUGGGAUUUGGCUCCCAGCUGGAAGCCACCCAGACCCAACUUUUCCCUCACGGAGUUUCCUUUGAGUUUUGCUUCCUGCAAAUCCAGAUUUUGCUGGUUUGGUGCUGUUUCCCUUUUCUGCAGUCUCAGAAUGUGCUGAUGGAAAUCUCCUGUUUGGUUGUUUUAAUGAUGCCAGGAGCCCAAAACUUGCCAGAUCCCUGGGAUGGGAUUUUUGGGAUGUGUGUGCUGUGGCAGGUGGGAUCAGGGCGUGGUUUGGGUUGGGAGGGACCUUUGGGAUCAUCUCAUGCCACGGGCAGGGACACUUCCCACUAUCCCAAGUUCCAAGUUCCACCCCUCCCCUCUCCCUCCUUCCCUGACAUCCCACCCAAUUCCUCCGGGGUUCCUGGAUGGGCUUUCAGGCCCCUUCCAACCCAGCUCAUUCCGGGAUUCUGGGAAGCAAAGCUUUGCUGCCUGAUCAUCCCUAACCAGCAGCCAGGGUGGGAAUCAGAUAAACUGAGCUUAUCCUGGGCUCAGCUUGACGGGCUCGAGCCCAAAACUGUUGUGCACGUGCUGAAGAGCUCGGCUGAACAGGAACCCCUGGGAGCGAGCAGGCACCGGAAUGUUUUUGGGAGGAAUAAUCUCAAAUGUCGAGCUGAUCUCCAAAUUCCUGGUGGGAGUAAAUGUCACUGGAAUGGCUGAGCCUGUGCCAGCCGUGGGGGGAGUUUGGGAAAGGCUGGAGUCGAUUGGAGCAGCUCCAGCAGGCAGCAGAAGUGGGGGGAACUCCAGGAUCCAUGGAGAGCAGCAUUCCCGGGAUGGGGGUGGUGACAGAGCCACAGCUUGGGGUUCUCCAAUGGGUUCCUCCUUCCUUAGGUGUGAAACCACCUUUGGAAAUCUGGGAUCUUGGAACACGGAACUCUGGGGAGCUUUUGGAGGAUGUCUCUGAAGGGUGAGCUGCAGACUUUGGAGUUUCCACCCUUGGUUUUCCCAUGGGAUGAGGGGAUGGGUUUGGAGCAGCCAGGUCCCUCAGAGCGAUGUCCACACGAGGUGUGGAUGGGGAAAACGUCGGAUCUGAGGUGUAAAAUUCCCUGUGAGAGGCAGGAGUUGGGUUCCUCACAGGACAAGGGGGGAUUGUUUUAAACUCAGAGAGAGAAGACUUGGUUUGGAUAUUGGGAAGGAAUUCCUGGCUGGGAGGAUGGGGAGACCCUGGCACAGAUUCCCAGAGAAGCUGUGGCUGCCGCUGGAUCCCUGGAAGUGUCCAAGGCCAGGCUGGAUGAGGCUUGGAGCACCCUGGGAUGGUGGAAGGUGUUGGGGUUGGAACUGGACUGGCUUUAAGUCCUUCCCAACCCAAACCACCACUUUUUGGUGGGAAUUCUCUACAUGGACAUCCCUUGUCUCACCCUCGGCAGGGACAGCUCUUCCCAAAUUCCAGGAGAGUGCCGAAGGAGCCUCCUCAGCCUCUCUGCACUCUUGCUCAUGGCAGGAAACAUCCCUUGGAGUGGCAGCUCCCAAAGAAACUUCCCGGAGCAGCUCGGAGCUCCCGGCAGGGCCCGGAUCCGCCUGGAUCUGCAGCAGGAGCCGGCUCCAGCUCCGUGCUCAGAGCAGAUGGAAGGAGCAGCAUUUCCCUCCCACGCUCCUCCCCAGGAGCCCCUUUGGAGCGAUGACAUUUUUCCUUUAACCCCCUGAUAUUUUUCCGGGAUCUGAAUGAACAGCCCACACAUGAGGAUGGGGGUUUUUUUCCUCCCUUCCUAUUCUUUUCUGUCUCUCCCUGGAUUCAGGGAAGGGGCUGCUCCGAGUAUUUCAGUCAUUUGGAUAACCAGGAAAAGCCCACCUGGCAGCUCUGCUCAGGGUGAAUUCCUCAUUAACUGGAAUUCCAGGAAAAGGUGAGAGCUGAGGGGAGGUAAUUUUGGUGCUGCAGGUGUGGACAUCACCUUCCCAAACCCCCCACCAUCCUCAAGUUCUCCUUUCCCAGGGACCAUCCCCAAGGGAUGAAGGAUUCCAUUUCACCAGACUUCCCAGGGUGUAGUUUUCCAUGAAAGAGGAAUAUCCCUGGAAGUAUUUAAACUUCUACUGCUUAUCCCUCGCUCACUAAGUCCCAAAGCUCGUUAAAUCCCAAGCUUUGGAGCAAUGGUUUAAUGUCUUAAGCCUUGACCUGAUUUACCUGCUCUGUGUCCUAGGAUUAGGAAUGUUCUGGACUGGGAAGGAUCCUCUCCUCCUCCAGCUUUCCCGUGUUCCAAACAGUUCUGCAUUUGGAAGCUGGAUUGAUUUAAAGUGCAUUUGGGAGCAGCAAUUGGACUUUUCCUGAUUGGAAGGCUUUUUUCCUGUAAGCAGAUCGGGAGGGUUGGAGUCAGGCUUUAAAAGCCUUAUUCAUCCCUAAUCCCAAAUAAUUCCGUCUCCGUGGCUUUUAACGUGAUUAAAUCAGGGCAGGCUGUGACGACACCCGGCAAUUCCGCUUCCCAAAGAAUAUUGGAUUGAACCCGGAGCGAGGCUCCACGAAAAGAGGAAUUUGGUGCUUGGGUUGGGCAGUCCCGAGUUCAGCCCCCUGUUCUCCCCUGGGGUCCAGCUGCUGCAGAAUUCCAGGCUGGAAAAGCGGAGCCUUUUCCCGUGGGUUUUGCCUCAUCCCUGGAUCUAAAGCCGUCCGUGUUCCCUGUUUGUGCUGCUCUCCACAUCCCAGGAUUUCCUGGCUCUUUGUGGUUGGAUGGGAUGGAAAGUGGAGUGGGGUCACCUGGAUUGUCAUGGCCAUGGAUUUGUCUGUCACCAAAUGCCAAAUCCCUGGAAUUGCAUCCCCCUGGAACUGCAACCCCCUGGAACUGCAGCCCUCUGGAAUUGCAUCCCUCCACCGCCCUCCUGCAGGUGCUCCCCUCUGGAAAACCCCAGGAAUAAUCAGCUCCCUGUGUGAUUCUUGUGCCAAUCACUCACCCUUGUUAUAUCCCAAUUCCUUUGUGGAAUUGGGAUAUAACGAGCCAGUGGAUAAUCCAGGAAUGGAGCUUUCCAGAGGGUGCUGGGGGAUAAACCCAUGGGCAGCUCUGAGGUGCUGAGCCACAGGGAUGUGCCAGAACCCUGGGAAUACAGCAGGGAAAGGAAGUCCUCAGGAAAAAAUGGGAUUUAAUUGCUGCUCCUUGUAACAGAGUUCCCAAUAAAUCACAAUUCCCAGACAAGAAAAGCCCCAAGGCAGUAUUCCCCACUGGUGAGAGGGAAUCCUGGGAUGGGGUUUAUAUCUGCUCCAUAAAUUCACAUUGCUCUGAUACAUUCCCAAAGCUCUGCAACUCCAAAUCCCUCAUGGAUCUAAAAACAUGUCGUUUUCCAGGUCUAUUUUUCCCCAAUCCCACCAAUCCCUCAAAAAACCAAAAGAGAGGGAUUGAAUGGGGGGGGGGGGGACGACGACGACAUAUCCAAGGCUUGGGAUCAGGACUCUGAUUCCCAAAGCUCCCAGGAAGUUUGGGAAGGGAGACACCACUCCCAUCCACAUGUGUCUCAGCGUUGUCACAGCUGCACCAGCUCCCAAAAUUGAAGCCAGGGACACUUCCAGGGAUGGAUUUUUUGAACCAGGGUGUGCUCCAUGCUUUUUUCUGGAGUCUGGAAAGAGGGAGAGCAGGCUUGGAAUUCCUCAUUUCCCCCAGAUUCCUGAUCUGCCUGAUUUACCCUGUGGGGAUUUCAUUUAAGUCUGGCUUCAAACUUUCAAAUCAUUUCUUCACCCCACAGCAGCCACAUCUCCUUUGGCACCACUUUCCCCAAUAUCAAAAUAUUCCCUCUCCAUCUUGGCCUCCAUCCGAGAUUUAAUGUGCAGGGAGCACUUGUGAGGGAAAAAACUCAUAUUUUUCCUUGAUUUCUCCUUCAUUUUUAAUCCUUCAAAGGGCUGUUGAGUCCUGAUUCAAAGGAGCCUCGUGUUUCUGUGUUUUGGGGAAGAUGCAACUUUGUCGUGGCAAAACAGCUGCAAGGAGACGCGAAAACAGCAUAAAUGUGGGAACAGAAUAAAUGUGGGAACAGAAUAAAUCAGGAGCUGGAGAAAG
rnacentral:lncRNA from 1 species